GUAGUUGACCUCCGGGAAGUUGGCACCGCACUUUGAAGUUAGAAACAUUUUAAAGGUUGUUCCAGGUUGUUCUAGGUUUGUUCUAUAUUGUUCCAAAAUAUCGCGUCCGAAAAAAAUUUAUUUUCCACAAAAUUCGUAAAAAACCAAAAAGAAGUUGGCACCGCACUUUGAAGUUAGAAAAAUUUUAAAGGUUGUUCCAGGUUGUUCUAGGUUUGUUCUAUAUUGUUCCAAAAUAUCGCGUCCGAAAAAAAUUUAUUUUCCACAAAAUUCG